UGCUAUAAGCGUGUGGCAAGAUUACACAGCCAAUCUAGCGCUUCCUUGUCUCCAUUGUGAAGACCUGAUGUUCCUCCACUGAACUUCGUUUCCGGGCAUUUCUCAAUAAUGUGCCUAAUAGUUUGGAGUUGGUCACAGUUACAGAGUGGAGAGUCCACCAUACUCCAUUUGUGCAUCAAAUAAUUGCAUCUUCGAAAACCCAUUGAAACCCAUUUUCGACAUGUGUCACCAUUGACAAUA